rnacentral:sRNA from 1 species
GUUGAAAGUGGGGCAGAUGAUGAUUAUCAUAAAACAAAUGGGU